CGCUAGGAACAAACCUAGGUUUCUUCUCUACAAAACAAAUCAUCAUUAACGAUGAUACACCGUGAAAGAGAAACCUUCGAACAAACCCUAAAACACUGCAAAAUCAUGAAAAAGCUUGAUCGGAUUCAAAGGAUUUCUCUUUUACUGAACAAAACAGCUAAACCUAAACCCUAUACAGCCGAAGAUCCACAGCCCUAACUUUCCAUCUUCUCUUCCACUUUCUCCCUCUGCGAAUCUCCUUUCGUAUUCUUGUUUUUUUUAUGUGAUUAUUGAUUGGAGAAUCCUACAAGCUUUCUCCAGCCAUGUUAUACAGUUGAUUUCCUUCUCUCUGUCUUCGUUGAAAGCCUGUUUCAUCAUCCUCAAAUUUCAAGUCUGGAAGUGGUUUGUAUCUCAAUUUUGUAUUUAUUUAUUUUUUUUAUAUAAUUUUUGAUUAGGGUUUGCUUUUCUUGCAAAUACUUUGCUGCCAUUUUUUUCUGCCUAAACGGCUAAACCUAUCCUCUUUUGCGUGGAAGCAAAUUAGAAUCAAAAUAAGUACUAUAUCCCAACCAUAACUUAAACCCUAAAUACUUUGUCUUCUCCUCUGGCUCCCUAUUUUCUUUCCCUCAUUCAGAAAGAUAACAAUGAUAAAUACUUCUUCUUUUUUUAUCAGUAAAUACAAUGAUAAAUACUUAGUGACAAAGAAUCAUGGGUCAUCCGGGAUUUCAACAUUCAGUUCUGUAAGUGUAAGUUGAUUUGUGAUAAUAUGGUGUUUUCUAUAGAGGCGAGAUUGAUUGCAGAAGAUGUCACCAUCUCAGUUCGCGAAGCCAAAUCAGAGGCCGAUGGAAUCGGAAAAAUAUACUGAGGUGAUUUUGAGGGAUUCACAAACAUCUUUUCCCAAAAUAGGCAAGAUAUCUUGCCAGUGCUGCUGCUAAUAGUGGACUAUAGGGAAAAGAUGGCAGAACUACGAGAAUAUAUUGAUCCUGAUUAAAUGGGGUCGAAUGCUCUCAGUUCUCACUAUGUCUACAAUGACUCCAUGAAUAAGGGUGUAUGAAGAACAGAGAGACUCACUUAUGGUAAAAAAGAGUACCCCUCUCACGUUAGACCACUAGAAAGAGCACCUAACGAAUCAACUACAAGAAGCAUACACAUCGCGUCACUCCUUACAGCAGUGAACAUCAGCAUGAACCAUUUGUAUCCAGGGAUUUCCAGUGAAGAUUUGGAAGAGCUUUCCGAGAACAUAAUAUGCAUCUGAGGGAUGGAGAAACACCUAACCAUAUUUAAGUAUUUGCGAGAGGUUUAUUAUCUCGAUGUCCCUGGCUAAAAAUGGGAAACACAGAGGAUAAUUAUCUCAAUGUCCCUGACUAAAACGAUGGUUUUUGUACCGUUCACAGCAGCACCAUUUGUACAUAUAGGUGGUUGCAAGUAAUUUUUCCGGAGAAGAAUGGUCUCAAAAGAUAACAGUUAGGAUCUCAGAUAUGAAGUAGAUCAGUGGCAGGAACAAAUAUCUCAAGUUGAAAAUGCAUUAAAGGAUUGAAAAAGGGAACGCCCUUGGAUUUAGACGAAGAAGAAAUAGAUCAGAAAAUUUAUCUAAGAAAUUGAAUAUUUUAUCUGCAUUAGACAUAUUAAGAAGACUGCAACUGCCUUCCUACUGUUGGUUGCCAUUACUACCACCGUAUCAAUCUCUAGCUCUUCUCCAAUAGGGCGAGGCGUAGCCGAGCCACACCAAAUCAAAUCGAGACGGGGCGGAGCGAGGCCAAGGCGAAGCCGAGCUUUAACAAAUAAAAAAUAUGGUUAAAGGGCCAAAUCAAAAAUGCAUUAGGACAGGACGAGGCGUAGCCAAGCCACACCAAAUCAAAUUGGGACUGGGCGCGGUGAAGCCGAAGCCGAGCAUUAUCAAAUCAAAAAUAUAGUUAAAAGAAAAAGAUGUCUGAUGCAUAGCACGGGCAUAAAGUCUACCAAAGAUGUUGGCAAAUACAUUUAAAUGUAUUAUCUAAUUUGGGUAAAUACAUUAUAACAAAAAUAUUUAAUUGAUA